CUGUUGUUAAGGAACUCGGCAAAAUGACCCCGUAACUUAGGGAUAAGGGGUGCCACCAUCAGGUGGCCGCAGAGAAUAGGCCCAAGCGACUGUUUACCAAAAACAUAGGUUUCUGCUAAGUCGCAAGACGAUGUAUAGGAGCUGACGCCUGCCCGGGGCUGGAAGGUUAAGGGGAUCUGUUAGAGCAAUCGAAGCAGUGAACUUAAGCCCCAGUAAACGGCG
rnacentral:rRNA from 1 species